rnacentral:rRNA from 1 species
CCUACGGGAGACAGCAGUGGGGGAUAUUGCACAAUGGGGGAAACCCUGAUGCAGCGACGCCGCGUGUGGGAAGACGGUCCUCUGGAUUGUAAACCACUGUCUCCAGGGACGAAAAUGACGGUACCUGGGGAGGAAGCUCCGGCUAACUACGUGCCAGCAGCCGCGGUAAUACGUAGGGAGCGAGCGUUGUCCGGAAUUACUGGGUGUAAAGGGAGCGUAGGCGGGGAUGCAAGUUGGGUGUCAAAACUACCGGCUCAACUGGUAGUCGCACUCAAAACUGCAGCUCUUGAGUGAAGUAGAGGCAGGCGGAAUUCCUAGUGUAGCGGGGAAAUGCGUAGAUAGUAGGAGGAACACCAGGGGCGAAGGCGGCCUGCUGGGCUUUUACUGACGCUGAGGCUCGAAAGUGUGGGGAGCAAACAGGAUUAGAUACCCUUGUAGUC